GCCUUCGUGGUGUAAUGGUCAGCACACUUGGCGUAUAUUCGAGUGGUCCGAGGUUCGAGUCCUCGGCGAGGGCA
rnacentral:tRNA from 1 species